UGCUGAAAAGCCAUGUCUCCUUUUCCUGAUGAACCUCCAAACCUCCAGUGCUACAAGUCAGUGAUGAAAUAACCAUCCUCUGUGUAAAGCUUUUAGUGCUGAAUGUGAAAAAAUUCUCCGGGCUGCCAGCAGGUGGGAUUCAUGAUCAAACAGGAUAUAGCAACUUGCACCUGGAUUGCAAGACCAUCACAGCUACAACAACACAGCUCGUUUGGAGAAAGU
rnacentral:lncRNA from 1 species